GGCUGUGUAGCUCAGUGGUGGAGCACUUGCCUAGCAUGUGUGAGGUCAUGGAUUCAGUUCCCAGCACAGCAA
rnacentral:tRNA from 1 species